UCGCUAAACGGGGGAGGUGAUUGCAUACGAUAUCAGUUCACUUACCAGACAGCACUUAUGUUGUGUCAGACAGCUGAAAUGUUUUGUGCAAUAAACCUGUAAAUCAUUUGAAAAGUACUGGUUUAGUGUGUCGUCUAUCCACCAAAAAAGUUAACAGAUGAAUAAAAGUGUCCACUGGUUUAUUUUAUUUAUUUAUUUUUUAAUUAAAGCAGCAUUUGUUCUGUCCACAGUAAAGUUGGACAGAAAACCUUAACAAUGAGCUGAAAGAUGCUAUAAACCUCAGAACUGAAGGGGAUUAUCAGCCCAAGUUUCGUAACUAUAAGCGACACCUUUUACUUACCUUUACUUCCCUUUUACAGUCACUCGAUCAACUGUUACAUAAUAAUAUUGAUCAGUGCAGCUUUAAAGAUGCUGUCAGCCUUGCUCCUCGCUUUUAUGUACUGCAGCAUCUGGAGAACCCAGACACACACCCUCAUUCACUGCUCAGUGACACAAACAUCAAAUGCUUCUCAUCAAAAAGGAUAGAAUGAAGACAUAAGUGAUUUGGCAUGAAGAAGAAGAAAUUCAAGAUGUACAUUUUUCACAGCCCAACACAUUUCAUUAACCAUCCUUUAUUACACUGUUUAUAUAAUCAUAUUAAAAAAAAACACCAAGCACAUAGAAAGCAGGUAGGCCCAACAGUCACUAGGUGUCACUGUUGUUUGUCCCUCUUAUGUUCAGACAUAGUUUCAUUUCUCGAGAAAUUAAACCCUCACACUAAUCCUGCACAGUGUAUAGAGCUCAGCCAAAAGCUCAGCUCAGAGCAGAGGACGACAUGGAUCCUGGUACAUUGGCUGUCGUUGGAGCAGGUGCUGCUGGUCUGUCUGGAACUGCCACUGCAGCCGUGGCCAGCGUUGGAGCAGCAGUGGGAUGGCUGACCGGAUUCACAGGCUAGACACGAUGAAGGAACUGUUACGUUAGUUCAUUUACUGAACAGCUGGUUUGUUAUCUCAGACAGAUGAAAAGUGUGGCACAAUAAAUCUGUUUACUCUACUGGUUUACUGGUUCAGUGUGUCAUUCCUUAUAAUUAACUCUUGGUGCGCCUCAGGACUGUGUCAUAUCACAUUGGCUCUUUUUAUUUAUACUGCAACAGUUUCACGGCCCAACACAUUUCAUCUUGAAGUACACUGAUCAUACAAUCAUGAUAGGUCUCAUAUUUAAAAACAAGCUAAGUUAGGCAUGUCAGUCAGGCAUGACAUAUGAGCAAUACACUCAGAUUUUAACUCAGACCGCAUCAACAUUAAAGCCCAGCAGACACUGUUCUUCCUCAGACAACUUAAGAAAUUCAAAGUGAAACACUGAAUCCUCCCAUUAUUUAUACAGCCAUCACUGAAAGUAUCCUUACUACAUCUUUAACAGUCUGGUACGGCAGCCUAGAUACUCAUCCGCAAAAAAACUGCCUCACAUUGUCAACAGAUCCUCCAAAACCAUCCCCACUGCCCUCUACUGAUAAGAGUUUAGAAUUGCAUCAAGCUUUUUUUCACAAUAUUUAGAGUAGUUCAUCAUUUAAACAAGGAAUGGGACUUGAAUAAUUGUUUGUUCAUGGUCAUUAGAUAGAUCUUGAUUCAAAGCUUUAGUCAAAAUGUCAGAUUUCCACCUUUUAUUACAAUCAACUGUCCUGCACCCUGGAAUAACACUGUUAUGAUUUAUUAUUUAUAUAUACUUAAUAUUAUACUUUAGUAAUCACUAAGAGCCACCACAACCCCCAGGACCAAAAUACUGUAUGUAAUUAUGUAAUAAAAAUGUAAAUUGCUUGGUUUCAUUUGAGUCACUCAGUGACCAAAACAACCCAACUCUGUGACGCCCCCUUUUGUUUAGUUUCCUUUCUCAAGAAAUGAUACCUAACCCUGCACAUAUAAAGCUCAGCCCACUGAGCCCAGUUCAGUCAGAGCAGUCAGAGAAGAGAAACAUGGGUCUGCUAACAGCAGCAUUAAUUGGAGCAGGAGCAACAGGUGCCGUGGUCGGGGCUCCUUUUGUUCUGGCCGGCAUAGGUUUCACCUCAGCUGGGAUAGCAGCAGGUUCAUAUGCUGCAACCAUGAUGUCGGCUGCUGCAGUUGCUAAUGGAGGCGCGGUGGCAGCUGGAAGUACAGUGGCUGUUUUGCAGGCAGCAGGUGCAGCUGGUCUGUCUGGAGCUGUCACUGCAGCUGUGGCCGGCACUGGAGGAACAGUGGGAGGGCUGAUUGCCCUCCUCAUCUGAGAAUCAUGAAGGAAGAAGAUGAACCACGAAUUCACAAUGAUUUCUUUAUUCAUCUUUUGACAAUGGGCAAAGGCAAUUACAGAAAAAAUCCGUUCUCUUACUAAAUAGCACUUUUGUCAGGCAGCUGACAUGUUUUUGCAAUAAAACAGAUGAAUAAACCCCUGAAAGA